AGAGUUUGAUCCUGGCUCAGAACGAACGCUGGCGGCGUGGCUGAGGCAUGCAAGUCGAACGAGAAAGUCCCGCAAGGGGCGAGUAAAGUGGCGAAAGGGUGCGUAAUACAUAGACAACCUACCCCCGAGAGCGGGAAAACACCGGGAAACUGGUACUAAUACCGCGGAACGUUACCGGUCGCAUGACUGGUAUCUGAAGGUGGGGACCCUUAGGGGCCCAUCGCUCGAGGAGGGGUCUAUGUCCCAUUAGCUAGUUGGCGGGGUAAUGGCCCACCAAGGCGGUGAUGGGUACGGGGCUCGAGAGGGUGUACCCGCACACUGGGACUGAGACACUGCCCAGACUCCUACGGGAGGCUGCAGUUCCGAAUAGUUCGCAAUGGCCGCAAGGCUGACGACGCGACGCCGCGUGGAGGAUGAAGGCCCUCGGGUUGUAAACUCCUGUCGACUGGUAAGAAAUUCUGCAAGUUAACAGCAUGCAGAUAUGACGUAACCGGUGAGAAGUCGAU
rnacentral:rRNA from 1 species